GGGGAAUGACCGACUUCGGGGUUGUAACUCUUUCAGCAGGGACGAAAGUUGACGUGGUACUGCAGAAGAAGCGCCGGCUAACCUACGUGCCAGCAGCCGCGGUAAUACGUAGGGCGCAAGCGUUGUCCGGAAUUAUUGGGCGUAAAGAGCUCGUAGGUGGCUUGUCGCGUCGGGUGUGAAAGCUUGGGGCUUAACUCCAGGUCUGCAUUCGAUACGGGCUGGCUAGAGGUAGGCAGGGGAGAACGGAAUUCCUGGUGUAGCGGUGAAAUGCGCAGAUAUCAGGAGGAACACCGGUGGCGAAGGCGGUUCUCUGGGCCUUACCUGACGCUGAGGAGCGAAAGCGUGGGGAGCGAACAGGAUUAGAUACCCUGGUAGUCCACGCCGUAAACGUUGGGCGCUAGGUGUGGGGGCCUUCCACGGUUUCCGCGCCGUAGCUAACGCAUUAAGCGCCCCGCCUGGGGAGUACGGCCGCAAGGCUAAAACUCAAAGGAAUUGACGGGGGCCCGCACAAGCGGCGGAGCAUGUUGCUUAAUUCGACGCAACGCGAAGAACCUUACCAAGGCUUGACAUCGCCCGGAAACAUCCAGAGAUGGGUGCCUCUUCGGACUGGGUGACAGGUGGUGCAUGGCUGUCGUCAGCUCGUGUCGUGAGAUGUUGGGUUAAGUCCCGCAACGAGCGCAACCCUUGCUCCAUGUUGCCAGCAGCACCUUCGGGUGGCUGGGGACUCAUGGGGGACUGCCGGGGUCAACUCGGAGGAAGGUGGGGAUGACGUCAAGUCAUCAUGCCCCUUAUGUCUUGGGCUGCAAACAUGCUACAAUGGCCGGUACAGAGGGUUGCGAUACCGCAAGGUGGAGCGAAUCCCUAAAAGCCGGUCUCAGUUCGGAUUGGGGUCUGCAACUCGACCCCAUGAAGUCGGAGUCGCUAGUAAUCGCAGAUCAGCAACGCUGCGGUGAAUACGUUCCCGGGCCUUGUACACACCGCCCGUCACGUCACGAAAGUCGGCAACACCCGAAGCCCGUGGCCCAACCCUUUGGGGGGGAGCGGUCGAAGGUGGGGCUGGCGAUUGGACGAAGUCGUAACAACGUGCCGCC
rnacentral:rRNA from 2 species